GCUUGGAUGUGGAUUUAUGGCGUGCUCACCCCUUCAGGUUCUCACUGUGUCCGACGCCAGAGCCGACUGUGUGUCUGAAGCAUUGCCUGGAUUUUGUGCCCAUAGGCUGCUGGCAGUGAGGUGGGUUGCACAGUG
ensembl:snoRNA